GAGGAAAAUGGAAGGAGAGGAGAAAGCGAGAAGAGAGGAGAGCGAGCAGUGUGCGUGCUCGUUUCCCAAAUCUUGCUUCUCAGCGAGCACGCGCCGAGCUGCGGCAGCCCCGAGCAACUCGAAAGCGCCAGGGUCGGCACGCAGCCCGGCUCCCAGUCUGGUCUCGGCCUCCGGCGGCUCGCUCCCCGCCACUCGCUCUCCCCCUCUCUCCCUCCCAGCCAGCCAGCCAGCCGGGGCGCGCGCUCCCGCGCCCCCUCCCCCUGCCGUCGCGCCCCCCGCCCCCCACCUCCCGCGAGCAGGAAACGCGUGGCCCCGAGGAGGGCGACCAGGUGGGGGAGGCCAUGCUGGGGGAGGGGGCCGUGCAGCCCGCAGCAGUCUACCUAACUGCUGCCGCGGACGCUAGUGACGCGCUCUUGGCCCAGCCUGCUCCCCGGAUUCUUAGGCUGGGGGUCAUCUGGGACCAGGGGACCCACAAAACAACCGGCGUCUGCGAGCCUCCCUGGGGCUCCCGAAAGAAAUCCUGUUUGGCUUCCUCUGUCUAUGCAGCUCCCCUCUCAACUGAAACCACUGGUCCAAGACAGCCACAAUCCAGAUAUACUAGCAAGUCAUAAAACUGAACAAAAGCCGACAAACCUUACGGCACCAGGGCUAUAGGGCCCAGACAAAUUACGACCGUCUAGGUUUGACCCUUUUAUGCAUGUAAUUUCACAGUAUAAAGGAAACCCAAACAAAGUCUCCCUUCUCUAGUCUAUUCCGCUUGCCCCAGCCCUCCUUGGGUUCUAUGAAUUUUAGAAAGGAAAAAGAGGAAGAAGAAAAAAGAAAAUGAGAAAGAAAACUCUCCACAAGACAGGGAGAAUUGUGGUGUGCUUGUCGUGUGUUACCAGUGGUAACAAUUACUUAAUGACAAAAAAAAAAAAAAACCCACUAAAUCCACACGCAUAAACAAAACUACCUUAGGUUAUUUAUCUACAGACAGAAGGAUAUGGAAAUUCAGAGGUAAGUGAAAUAAUUUAGUCCCACAAUGCAAGACUAACACAAACUGGAAGAGAAGUUUCCUUCUCCUGGUCGUUCUUUUUUUUUUCUUUUUCUUUUUCUUUUUCUUUUUUUCCUUUUAAAGCUGGGAUAUCUUGCAGAGGAAGGAAAGAUUAAUCUUUCUUACUCUCAAUUUUUUAAUCAGCCAAAGUCAAGCCCUUUUGCCAGCCUGCAUGUCCAUGCCUGUAAGCCCUUCUCUUUGCCAAGGAAGAAAGAAAGAAAGAAAAAAGAAACCCAGGGGCCUGUGUCCCCUGAUUAAACACAGCCCAGCACUCCAGGCAGGCGAGCCCGGUGGCGGCUCCUUGCACCAUUGACCUCAGGCCAGACACCUCAGCGCCUACAAUGGGACCUCGGCCUUCCGGCUAGGUUUGCCCGCCCCCGCAGGAAACCAGCUCCACCGGGAGGACCGGAGCCAUUUCCAGCAGAGGAACCCCGAGACAGCAAACCAGCCCAGUCACCACUCAACACUUCAGGACAAUAGUUCUCUCUCUAGAAAUUUAGCACGAUAUGGCUUUUUCCCCCAGAAAACAAGUAAACCAGCACCAAGCAAACAGACAAAGAAACAAAAAGUCAGAACAAACCAGCCCUGCACAGAUGUAACGGCCAGCGAGAUGGCGAGUGUGGGAGGGAGGAAUGGGGCUCCGGCACAGGUGCGAGUUCCUGGGCAGAGGGCAGAGGCCGAAGACAGAGAGAGGAGAAUGGCUCUCUGGCAGCGGGG